UGCGGUAGGAUGAGAGAAACCACUGCAGUAUCCAUGCGCUGGAAACGCCCGUGACCCGCCGCGCACUGGUGUCUGCCCUUUGUGCACAGCAGAGCUGCGUCCCUGUCUGUCCUCAAGCCAGGCUGUGCCUUCCUACCUGUGACAUGAGCUGAGGGUGGGGAGGUUUCAAAAGGAGACAAUCCACAGCUGAGAACCAGGAACAAGGUUACGGCCGUCUGCCCACCUGCCAUUGCGUCUCACUGAAAACCCAAGGAUUACCUUGAAUCCAUUUCUCAUUUUGGCCCAUCUGAAGUGUAAGGUGCCCGUGGACAUCUCUCCUGAGCUAAUACUGUAGUUGGAAUCUAAGCCGAAAUCCAUCUCAUCAUGGUGCUCUCUGUAUGCCACCUCUUCUCAUCCUCAUCCUCAUCUUUAUCCUUCAAUUUGUACCUCUCACUGUGACAGCGCUUGAAUUCCUACCUUGGGCUCCACUCUCUGAAUAAUCUAGUUUAACAGACAUACUUCCCAGGCCCCUUUGCAAUUGUAAACCGAGGUACAUCUAGGUUUUACUAAUCAGAUACAACACUGAUUUGGGGGCAAACAGAUGUGAAAUGAAUGAGUGGCCACUAGUGGGCGUGUCUCUUGAUAGGCACUAUCAUGGCACUAAUAGAAUGAAGGCCCUGGAUUCAUGUGUGAUAUCUGUGAAUGACCAGUGCCAACCAGAGACAGCAGCUGCUGCGAUAUUUCCACUGAAAGGUGUCUGUGGUGCACUGGCUUUGCCUCCAAGCUCUGUUAUUAGACUUUGCAGUAAAGGAGCUUAGUGGUUUACUCAUCUGAAGAGCUGACAACCUCAUGUUCAAUGCUAAGCAUUUCUGUUGAAAUUAAAGAUUGAGAAUUCUAUUGUUUGCAACAAGGAUUCCUGACCAACAGAAGGUUGAUCUACCUAAGACCUAGUUUCAGUCCUUUGUUUCUCAUGAUAAACCUCAGAAAGAAACGGUAA